ACUGGGCGCGGUGGCACGUGCCUGUAGUCCCAGCUAUUCGAGAGGCUGAGGCUAGAGAAUCUCUUGAGUCCAGGAGUUCUGGGCUGUAGUGUGCUAUGCCGAUCGGGUGUCUGCACUAAGUUCGGCAUCCAUAUGGUGACCUCCCGGGAGCGGGGGACCACCAGGUUGCCUAAGGAGGGGUCAACUGGCCCAGGUUGGAAAAAUAUGAAUCAUGGCUUGGUAUGGUGGCUCACGCCUGUAAUUCCAGCACUUCGGGAGGCUGAAGCAAGAAGAUUGCUUGAGCCCAGGAGUUCAAAACCAGCCUAGACAACAUAGGAGACCCCAUUUCUA
ensembl:misc_RNA Metazoa_SRP Metazoan signal recognition particle RNA